rnacentral:lncRNA from 1 species
UUUUUUUUUUUUUUUUUUUUAAUUUUUACUUCAGUUUAUAAUAAACUGCACUUUUUAUUGUCACUGAGGAAAAUGUAUGAAAUUUGUAUUGUGCACAUACAUUGUAUACUACAAGCGACACACUUUAAAGUUUAAAAACAAAAUUUGCACUCACAUUUGUACCAAUUAAUUGUCCUCCCAACAAUUAUUUUGACAGGCUCCCAUUUCACUAAACAAUACUUCAUUUAAAUUAAUUCGGUUUUUUGAAUCUUGAUUUAUUGUUUAAUAAACAGUAAACUACUAAUAAAUGCACAGCAACAUUUGGUUAACUUUUCAGGCAGUUCUAUACAUGCCUAGCUUGUUUUUCUGUAUGGUACUUGUGGCUAUACUUGUUUAGAUUUGGAAAUUGUCUAUUUAUGUUCAAGAUUUAUAUCCAGAGCUCUUGAUUCUGAACUUAGAGUAAUAAAUUAAAAAUAAAUCCAUGAAAGUCAAUGGAGCAAAUCCUCGGCUGGCUUAAAUUUGAGUAACAUUGCCAAAGUCAGUAGUGAUAUACCAGUUUAUGCAAACAGAGGAUCUCGCUCAACACCCAGCUAUCAAACUCAUGUAAGAGUGGAAUCAGAGUUUAUAAUAGUAUAGCACUGUUACACAGAAAAGUGGAAUAGAAGAUUAAAUAAGCUAAAAAUUGUGAAGAGGAAGGAAAUGUGUAGCAAUUAAUCUUAUUCAGUUAUCUGGCUGUGGUUUGUUCAUUUUCAUUUGUAAAUUGGCUCAUUCCAAUUUUCUAGUUAGUUUUUCAUCUUUUCAUCUCUUCCCACACCAGUUCUGUUUUCUUUUUUAUAUGGUCUUUAGCUCCAGUUUUUAUGCUCAUCAGCAAUUGUCAUCCUAUGGCUAUAUUCCUCCAAAGUAAACCAGGAUGAUACACGAGUCUGUGUGAUAGAAAUAGGCAUUAAAGAGUAAUUAAUAGGAAAGGAAUGGAUGCAUUUCAAGCCCAGCUAGCUAGUAGGUUAAAUGGUAUAAUCACCCUUCCACUCCAAUAGUGUUGAACAUGAACCUGUUGAAAAGACAAAUGGAUCAUGGUGAAGAGGAUAAAAACUGAAUGUUCUACGAGGCUGAUAUGCAUAAAUAUAUCUGUGAAGGGCAGAGAGAGUCAGAACACACACAGAGAAUUAAAAACUUGAAGUAAGCAUUACUUGUAAAAUACACCACAUAAAUUUUGGCUCCUGCUUAUAAUUUCUGUUUGUACCUCUAAGUAGUGAGUGUGUUGUAUUACAACUUGAAUAGGGGCCUGAGAAAUGCCACUGUUCAUAGUCACCAAUACCUAAAAGACAUUAGCAAUACAGAGUGAAGUAUUUUUCUCCAAUGUGAUAUAGGAAAGAAAAAAAAAGAUAUAUUCACAUAAGAAGCGUGUCCUGUUGUAUUAUGCAAACUCUUUUUUUUCAGGAUAAAAUCAAACUGGUUGUGAGAACAAUAUGGAUAUCUCUUGUAAGAUAGGAAGAGUCAACAGAUAAAUGUUUACAAUUUAAGGAAAUUAUUGAUAUCAUCAUUCUUUUCCUGUUGCUAUGGUUGAAGUUUUGUCACAAGAUCUGGAUGACCAUGACUAUUGGUUCUGCUCUGGCAGUAAAUGGACUUCUGCUACUGUGAUUGUUUUCCUCUUGCACAGGUUCUCACCCUUAAUUCCUCUUAAUGUUUGUCUUUUAGAAGCUGUUCGCAUGUUAUGCCGAUGUAAAUGUGACAGUUCUGUCAAAUGCCUCCUUUUCAAGCUGAGGUUUCCAACCAAAUAUUUUGAGAGAUGGUGCUUGGUUUUAGGCAUGAGAAACACAAUAUUAGCCUACCACACAAGGGAAAAAAACAAAGACCUGGAAUUUCUUUCUCUUAACUCUUCUAUCUUGACAUAUUUGCACUUGGUACUUAACAAAAAAAAAAAAAUAGCUGUUUGAAGUUUAGCUAGAGUCUGAAUAUUUAGGUAAGAAUGAUGGAAGAAAAAAAUAAUCUAUUCUUUGAAAUAACUAGUAAAAUGUUAUAUUUUAAUCC